AGUCUAAUGGCAAGAAGAUAUUUGUAAAGAUUACUAUAUAUUUUUAUUUUCUCUGAGAUCCCUUUGUUAAAUAGGGAUCAAAUAUUGUAUAUUUAAAAUAAUUGUAUAUCUAAAGUGAUCCUGGAAAUUUGCUUUCUAAAUGAGCAGAGAGGUCUCCUAUAGGGUCCUCUCUGGUUGCAGGGACUUCUGUCUUUUUCUUGGAGGGUUUGCAUAGGCUAAUGUUCCCCUUCUUCAACAACCCUCCCCCUUUCAUGUGAAUUGCUGUACAUUUCCAGGAAAUCGUACACUUUCAUCUAUUCAGAAAAACUUUCUUUUCUGACAAAUCUUAGUAACAGGAAAUUAAAGGCAUAUGGGACAGCAGUCAUCAAAGUGACUGCAGAAAGCUAUGUGAGAUGGAAAUAUGGAAAUUGGAGGUGGGGGACAUUCACAAAUCAUCUGGUUUAGAAGUCGUGUAGAACUUUAAACAUAUUUUAACAGGUAAUAACUCUUAUUUAGAAAUAAAUCAUGUUCAUUUUGAAUUUUUUAAGAAUGUCUUUGAUUCUUGAAAUUUUUUUACCGUAUGCUAAAGAAGAAGAAAGACUGCCUCUGUCUACCAACAUCCAAAUCGUCUGCAGAACUUGUUCAAAAUGCAGAUUCAUGAGCCCCACUCCAGAUCUACUGAAUUAUAAUCU
rnacentral:lncRNA from 1 species